CCAGGAGGGGCAUGAAUGAUGAAUUUUGCUGCUAUACGCACCUGAAACAGAAAGAAAGAUAUAAAUGUUCCAUAUCACAGGCUUCUGCUAAAAUAAGCACAAAACAUGCAAAAUUAUAUUAUUUCAAAGCUCUACUGAAAAUGGCUUAAGAUUUUAAAUACAGUGAUACUUUUUCACUCAAUCACCUUAAGAUCACUACUGUUUCAAUAAUUUAAUAUAAUCACAACAUACAGACUGAAUGUAGAUAAAAUAUACAAUACUGAAUGAAUAAAGAUUCAAAGCUGCUUACAGAUAAACAAUUUCUUAUUUUAUUUAACUUUAAUUUUUUAUUUUUUGAGAUGGAGUCUCACUCUGUUACGCAGGCUAGAGUGCAGUGGCACAAUCUCAGCUCACUGCAACUUCUGCCACCUGGGUUUACGUGAUUCUCCUGCCUUGGCCUCCCAAGUAGCUGGGACUACAGGCGCGUGCCGCCAUGCCCAGCUAAUUUUUUGUAUUUUUAGUAGAGAUGAGGUUUCACUAUGUUGGCCAAGCUGGUCUUCAACUCCUGACCUCAAAUAAUCUGCCUGCCUCAGUCUCCCAAAGUGCUGGGAUUACAGGUGUGAGCCACCACAUCUGGCCUAUUUUAUUUCAUUUUUUUUUUGGAGGCAGGGUCUUGCUCUGUCACCAGGCUGGAGUGCAGUGGUGUGAUCUUGGCUCACUGCAACCCCUGCCUCCUGGGCUCAAGCCAUCCUCCUACCUCCGCCUCCUGAGCAGCUGGGACUACAGGCACGUGCCACCACACCUGGAUAAUUUUUUGUAUUUUUGAUAGAGAAGGGAUCUCACUAUGUUAUCCAGGCUGGUCUUGAACUCCUGAGUUCAAAGGAUCCUCCCAUCUCAGCCUCCCAAAGUGCUGGGAUUACAGGCGUGAGCCAGUACACCUGGCCAACAAUUUCUUAUAAGGAAUUUUAUUUCUUCUAAACUAAAGUGAAAAAAAAAUCAAUGACAAAAUUUUCUAUGUGUGAAGACAAGACGCAUUUAGGCAUAAAUAAAAUGAAGAACAAUGACAUACAUAUUUGAUUAAAAACUCACAAAUUAGUAAAACAUGUAGAAAAAAAGGAGAAAGGAAAAGUUUAAGUUCAAAAGGUUUAACAGGAGACCUGACCAGAUCUUAGGAAAUCUUAGUUCAAAGACAAGUAGGAGAUUGAACAUCAACAGGUGUGCUAACAGGCAUAUUUUAAGAGAAUAAAGCCUAUUUUGAUAAAGAGAUUAAUCACUAAUGAAAAUAUAUCUGAGAGGGUAGAUGAUGUGCCCAACAUAAUAGUUUAGUGAAAGCACCUUAUGUAUAGGAGCCAUCCAAUCACACUACAUGGUACCUGUGAAUAAGCUGAGGUAGUGUCCCUGAAAGUGUAGUCCUUAGGCAAGCAGCCUCAGCAGCACCUUGUCAAAAGUGCAAAUUCAUUGGCCCCAGACCAACUGACUGAAUCAGAAUCUCUGGAGACAGGUCCUGGGAAACACCAUUUAAACAACAUCUCCAGGUGAUUUUUAUGCACAUUCAAGUACUCACUGUAUGAAGGGACCAUCCUUGGCAAAAACAAAGCCUUGAUUUAUUUUUAUAUCUACCACUUUGAUAGCACUAUCAUUGCUUUGAUGUAGAAACUAAAAAUAAUGGAAAGAAAAGGAAAUGGCUGUGUGUGUUUGUGUAUGUGUUAUGUGUGCAUGUACAUGUAUCUAAGCACAGAUACCAUUUUCAGAGGAGAGAAACAUGGAAAAAAGGUAUAGAUGGCUAGAAUGAAGAUGUUCCUAGUUAGAGGUCACAUGUAUGACAAGGCCUUCAAAAGGUUAGAAAACAUCUAUUUAAGACAAAGGGAAUGUUUGUAGUUUUGAACUUGAGAAGCAGCAUUUUGUAAUUAAUAGAACUUUAGGUUCUGGAAUCAGACUGACAGUUACCUAAUCUCCUCUACUUUAGCUAUCUCACCUAAAAAGUGCAUAUAAAAUAGUAACUAGCUCAUAGAAUUUUUGGGAAGAGUAAAUGAUCUAAAGUACUUGGUAAGCACUAAUUUAAAUACCAUUUUUGUUAUCAUCUUAUCAUCUUUUUGUUAUCUAUCUGGUAUCUGACAUCAAUCAUAGAUUCUGCUUCAAACUUCUUAGUGUUCCAAACUAAUGUUGACUGAUAGCUUCAGGGUGGGGCUGGUCACUGAAAGAGGAGGCAAGAUUAGAGGGCUGGGACUUCUGACCCACCUCCUAACCUCCACUCCAGGGAGGGGAGAAGGGCUGAAGGUUAUGUUUAUUACCAGUCGCCAAUGGUUUAAUCAAUCAUGCCUACAUAAUAAUGCCUCCAUAAAAACCCAUAAAGAGGGUUUGGAGAGCUUCGGAAGAGCUGAACACAUGGAGGCUCCUGAAGGGUAGUGUGCCUGGGGAGAGCAUGGAGGCUCUGAUCCCCUCCUCCAUACCUCACCCUAUGCAUCUCUUCAUCUGUAUCCUUUACAAUAAACUGGUAAAUGUAAGUAAGCAUUUCCCUGAGUUCUGUGGGCCACUCUAGCAAAUUAUUGAACCUGAAAAGGGGGUUCUGAGAAUCUGGAUCUAUAGCUGGUCAGUCAGAAGUUCCUAAUGCCCGGACUUGUGACUGGUGUCUGAAGUGGGGGAAGGAGCAAUCUUGGGGACUCAGCCCUCCACCUGUGGGAUGUGACUAUCUCCAGGUAGAUGGUAUUGGAGUUAAAUUACAUGACACCCAGCUGGUGUCCGCUGUAGAACUGAUUGCUUGAUUUUUGGUGGGGGACUCCCACCUCUCCCCACCAAACACUGGGUCACAGAAGUGUUCUGUGUUGAUUGUUGUGCUGAGUGGGAGAAUACAAAAAAAAAAACAUAGGUGUUUUGUCCACACACAGACAUGAUACCAAAACCAUGAUCCAUUAAAAACAACAACAACAACAAAAAAAAAACUAGUGAGCUGGACUUAUUCAAAAUGUAAAACCUGCUCUGUGGAAGACUUCUGUUAAGAGAAUGAAAAGACAAGUUUACAAACUGGAGAAAAUAUUAUCAAAUGGCAUAUUCAACAAAGGAUUUUUAUUCAGAAUAUAUAAAGUACCCACAAGACUCCAAAAGUAAGAAAACAGUAAGCAGAGGACUUGAAUAGACACUUCGCCGCCAAAGAGUAUAUAUAAGACAGAUAAAUGCACAAAAAGAUGCUUAAUAUCAUUAGUCAGUAGAGAAAUGAAUAUUGAAAUCACGAAAUACUACUACAUACCUAAUAGUAUGGCUAAAAUAAAAAGGACAUAACACCCAGUGCUGGUGAGGAUGCAGAACAGGAACUCUCAUACAUUUCUGUGGAAAUGCAAAAUCAUUCAACCAGUAUGGAAAACAGUUUGGCCAUUUCUUAUAAAAUUAAGCAAGCACACACCACAGGACACAGCAAUCCCACUCCUAGGUAUCUACCCUUCAGAAAUGCAAACUUAUUUUCAUAUAAAAACUUAUACAUAAUUGCUCAAAACUGGAAAUAAUCUACCACCCAAAUGUCCAUAAAUGGGUGAACAGACAAAUAAACCAUGGUAUAUCUACACAAUGAAAUAUCACUCAGCAAUAAAAACGAACAAACCAUUAAUAUAUGUGACAACUGAAAUGAACCUCAAAAGCAUUAUGCUGAAUGAAAUAAGUCAAUCUCAAAAGGUUACAUAGUAACUCUACAGUAUUCCCUAUAUAUGACAUUCUCAAAUAAACAAUAUUAGAGCAAUGACGAAAAGAUGAAUGGUUGCUAGAAGCUGAGGGGUGGGGAAGGGGAAGAGUUUGACUACAAACAGAGAAAUGAGACGAGGAAAAAGAAACAGAGUUCUGGGGUGGAUGGAACUGUACUAGUAUGUAUCUAGAUUUUGGUAGUGAUUACAUUGAUCUAUACAUGUGCUAAAAGUCAUCAAAAAAGAGUACUCACUAUAUGCUAAUUGAAAAAAUAAAUUUUUUUAUGUGUUUUCAAAACAUAUUGCUUCUAAAACGUUUAAGAGUACUAUUAAAAUGUAAAGUAUAAAUAGCAAUUUUAAAAAGGCAAGGAGAGAGUAGGGUAUAGGCCAUUGUGCAUGCCAAACAUACACUGGAGUCUAUUAUGAUUACGUAAGUAUCUUCAUUUCCUUAUCCCCUUUCUGCCCCAUCCCCUUCCUAUUGAGAGAAGGAGUUGUUAGGAAGUAUUUAUACUGAAGUCUUGAUCACUAUCACAGGCAAAAAUUAAAAAUGUGAUAACAGAACACUUUUAGAAUUUUGAGGUAAUUAUUUUUAAUACUCCUAAUGACUUAUACAAACACUACCUAUAAAACUGGCUAAAUUAAAUUCCUGAUAGCAAGCAGCACACAUAUAGCAUAUUUAGUAAUGCAUUUAACUAGUUGAGCUUUAAAAAUUUUAGUUGUUUCCAAAAAAGGCAAUAUACCAUUUAGAAUUUUCGUCAGCUCUAUUUUGGGUUUUCACCAAGAAAGCAAAAAUGAUCUGUACUGCAUUUUUAUCCUAUGAACUUAUUUGCCCUUGCUGUUGCACUAAAUGUACACAGUAAUCAAAAGGUAUUACUGGACUUCCACAACAUCCAAAGUGAAUGGUGGGUCAAAAGUACCACUAAGGGUUGGGAGGUCAAGGGAGCAGACUGGCUGAGAACCCCAAACACAAUGUGGAUUAAACCAGCCGUGCCUGAAAUACUUUAAUCUGGUUCUUUCUGAUUUUCAAAAGGUAAGAAUCUGACCUUUGGAUUUCUCAGGCCCUAGACAAAAGAAAGGAUGUCUCUCACAGUAAAAGUUUUGACUGUUUUCCUAAGAAGAUAUUGUUCAACCAUCCAGGUAUUUUUUAUCCACUGCUACAGACUCAACAUUCCUCCUCGCUGACUUUAAUUUUAAAAAUUAUUUAUUCUAGCUCAUUUCUAAAUGCAAAAAAGAAAAAAAAAAUACCAGUUAACAAUAGGUAGGUCCCAAGAGUAGAAUUUCUGAAAAUAAUUACAAAUGUAUUUCCUUAAAGUUUAUCUAACAAACAUGGAGGGUAAGUGAAUACAUUCUAUUUACCGUUGGGAAUUAUAGCUUUUUAAAAAGAAUCUAGUGAGUUAUUAGAUACAUUUCUAGGCCCACUGCUAAAUGUUUUUUUUCCUUAUCCACCAUCUUCCUCCACAUGUUAUUCUUCAAAGUCAAUUCUGGACAAACUGGAGUCAAAAUCACGAAAGAGUUAUUAGUUUUAUUUUAUUUCUAAUCUAAUUCUGGAUUUUCGGGGCAUGGUUUUGUUGGGGACCAGUGGCUACAGGUGGGAGAUUAACUCUAUCCCUCCAUGAUAAAGUCCCUGGCAGCUGACAAGCAUACCUCACAACAAUCACAUCAAGAAGUAUAGAGUGGUUUUGAAAAGUUAACCUAUAGAGAUUCAAGUAUAACCUGAGUUAAAUCUUGAAAUUACAUUUUUUCUCUUGAUUCCAAAUAUUAUGUGGUAUGAAAUAUACACAUAAGUAACAAAUAUAACAUAAAAAAUAUGCUCCAUUCUAUUGCGCUUCUUGUAGAAGAGCACACAUCACUAGUCACUAUAAAGUGACCUAUACAGAAGAUAAAAUUGGGGUGUUCAAAAAAUAUCCAAAAUACAUGUGAGCCCUGAGAAAAAAAAUAAUUUCUGCCCAUCAACUGUCUGAGACAAUACAAACGUAUUACUGUCAAACAAUAUUUUUUCGUAUCUUGUUUUUCUUAUGGGCUUACUUUUUUGUAAAAAAAAAUAAUAAUAAUAAUUCUUCAAGCAACCCAUUCCAUAAUGGUAGUAAUGAAUGGUAACCCACAGAAUAAAACAAGAAUCUAUGAGUCCAUACUGGCAUAAAGAAAUAAACUAACAAAUGGAGGAAAAUGAAAAGCCCUUCAUCAUAGAAUUCCAAUUAAUAAAUGUAAAAGGAGGGACUGAAUUAGAAAACCACCUUGGGUGACCACCACAGUAAUUCUAGCAAGCAAAAAAUCAUCAAGGGAGGCUAAAGUUGGUGGGCAGAAUAAUAAAACAACAGGAUAUUUACAUUGUUUGUAAGUAUCUUCCCAGGUGACACUUAAUUACUAAAGAAUAGUAAUUUUACAUUGAGGAAACUCGCCAUACACCACCUUUACCAAAUAAAUGAUCAAAGUUAUCAACAGUAAUAAGAAAAACUGAAAAACUGACAUCAAGUGCCCCCUGAGAGUAUAUACUGAGAACAUAUCACUUCUGUGACACUCCUGCCAAAAAUUCAUAGGCUGAAUCUAAUUAUCAGGAAACAAACUAAACUUGAGGGACAGCCUACAAAAUAAUCAGUCUGUACUCUUCAAAAGAGUUAGGGUCAUGAAAAAUAAACAAUGCUGAGAAACUGUUCCAAAUUAAGCAAGACCAGAGACAUUACAACAAAAUUCAAUGUGAUUCUGGUUUAGAUCCUGGACCAGGGCGGGGGUGGAGGGGAAGGUGCAUUAGUGAUGUAAUUUUUUUUUUUUUUUUUUUUUUUUUGAGACAGAGUCUCACUCUGCUGCCCAGGCUGGAGUGCAGUGGUGCGAUCUUGGCUCAC
rnacentral:lncRNA from 10 species